AGAGUUCGUAGGUGGUUGAAAAAGUUGGUGGUGAAAUCCCAGAGCUUAACUCUGGAACUGCCAUCAAAACUUUUCAGCUAGAGUAUGAUAGAGGAAAGCAGAAUUUCUAGUGUAGAGGUGAAAUUCGUAGAUAUUAGAAAGAAUACCAAUUGCGAAGGCAGCUUUCUGGAUCAUUACUGACACUGAGGAACGAAAGCAUGGGUAGCGAAGAGGAUUAGAUACCCUCGUAGUCCAUGCCCGUAAACGAUGUGUGUUAGACGUUGGAAAUUUAUUUUCAGUGUCGCAGCGAAAGCGAUAAACACACCGCCUGGGGAGUACGACCGCAAGGUUAAAACUCAAAUGAAUUGACGGGGACCCGCACAAGUAGUGGAGCAUGUGGUUUAAUUCGAAGAUACGCGCAGAACCUUACCAACACUUGACAUGUUCGUCGCGACUUUAAGAGAUUAAAGUUUUCGGUUCGGCCGGACGAAACACAGGUGCUGCAUGGCUGUCGUCAGCUCGCGUCGUGAGAUGUUGGGUUAAGUCCCGCAACGAGCGCAACCCUCACUUUUAGUUGCCAUCAUUAAGUUGGGCACUCUGAAAGAACUGCCAGUGAUAAGCUGGAGGAAGGUGGGGAUGACGUCAAGUCCUCAUGGCCCUUACGUGUUGGGCUACACACGUGCUACAAUGGUAUCUACAACAGGAAGCAAGACGGCGACGUUAAGCAAAUCCUUAAAAGAUACCUCAGUUCGGAUUGCACUCUGCAACUCGAGUGCAUGAAGCUGGAAUUACUAGUAAUCGUGGAUCAGCGUGCCACGGUGAAUGCGUUCCCGGGUCUUGUACACACCGCCCGUCACACCAUGGGAGUUGGUUCUACCUUAAGGCAAGGUUUAAAACCCUUGACCACGGUAUAGUCAGCGACUGGGGUGAAGUCGUAACAAGGUAGCCGUAGGG
rnacentral:rRNA from 1 species